ACGUUUGGUAACUUAUCAUUGUCUGCUUUGCAUCUCCUAUCGAAGGAAGGAAAAUAAAAAUUAAAAGCUGAAGAUCGAAGAGCGACACAACGGAAAAUUAAGAAAACCAACGUCAUUCAUUCAUUCCCUUUAUAUUAAAAUAAACUCACAACAAAGGAAAAUACAUUGAUGGGUGUAAGUGAUGCAUGCCAGAAGCAUUAAGUUCCUAAAUUAACCAACCAAACUAAGAACAAAACUCCCCAUGAUACCCAUUUGACCAAAACCACCACAACCAACAAAGCAACCUCGUAUGCAUCUCUUACAUCCCAUGAUUCUUCUUCCAUCAUAUCAUAACAUUAACAUAUAUAACAAGAAAUAACCCAAAGCAAGAAAAUCAGUGGGAAAUACGUAAGAAGAAGUAAAAUACAAAAUUUAAGGACCUAAAGUUAAAGGUAAUUCGGACCGCUACCCUCAAUUCCCCGCGAUGCAAUGAUAACACUCUCCCAAUUCUUCUUCACAACAUUGUGAUGAGGCAGAAACUCGGGAGAGUGCAAUUGCAAAGCCAUUGUGUUGUGUUGUUUCCUUCAUUCACCAUCAACUUUUACGCAUAUUUACCGAAAUACCCUUCCUCCACCCUACACCACCGUCGUCUACGACAGAACGAGCAUCCUUAUUCACCGCCGUAGCUUGAACUCUCAAAGGCACACUCCUAGAGGCCAUGUUUGUGGGGGUGAUGAAAUAAAGUUAUGAAUGAUAAUGGAUGAGUGACAAGGCUAAGAAAGGCUCAAGAAAAUGGAAAUGGGGAAGCUAUAGCAAAGCUAAGGCUAAAAAAAAAGACUUGAAAUAGAGAGAGUGUGAGAGGGUGUGAGCAUAGGGACAAGGGGUGACAUGAUGGGUCGUAUAUAAAGGCGAGAUUUUAGCUUUUGGUUUUGCAUUAUUAUUAUUAUUCUCAUUUAUAAAAUGC
rnacentral:lncRNA from 1 species